GUUGGGGGAGAUGGAGAAGGGACAGGAGAUGGACACAAGUGGUCCAGCCCAGAGGUACUGCAGCAAUUAAGCAAAGGCUUUGGAAUCUGACAGCCCAGGAAGAAGCCCAGCUUGGCACGUGACUGGAACUGGAACAAAGCGCCCAACAUCCAGCAGGGCACCCAUCACGGCAGGCUGAACGAUCAUUAUCCCUGGACCCUCACUCCUUCCUUCGUUUAUUCGCUCAUGCAUUCAUCCAGUGGAUACGUCAUGGGCCUCUGUUGGCGCUGCUGGGCCCUGGCACACGGAGAUCAGCUACACACAGAUAGCGUGACCUGGUCCAGCCUUUCUGGCCUCUCACUUCUUUUCCUUUCCUGAAGUCUGACCACUGACACAUCACGAGGACCAAGAUAAGCCUCUGAGCCUGGGGCGCCGGUUCCUUCCAAGUGCGGAUGAUAAACCCAGCUGAACUGGUGCUGAUAUGCUGAAGGGAUUAAAGAGGUGAAAGUAAUAGGCAGUUCAAAGAAGUGCUAUUGAAAUGUCAGGGGUUUUUUGUUGUUCUUUUAGGAGAUUGUCUAAGUAUGCCCCACCCAUAUAUCCAGAACUCAUCCACUUUGCCCAAAAUAACAGCUCUGACUCAUCAUCCUGCCCUGAUUCCCACCGUGCAUCCCCGCCCCCAGUCUGUCCUCCAAACAGCAGCCAAAGUGAUCUUGUAAAGACAGAAGUCCAGCCACGUCAGUCUACUACUGCAAAGCCUCUGAGAGCUCCUCCUCGCCUCUGGAGUAAACUAGUGGGUAGAGGCCAGGGACGCUGCUAAACAUCCAUCACUACUCACAGCCUCCACAACAAAGCAUUAUCUGACCCAACAUGUCAAUAGUGCCAAGAUUGAGAAGCCCUAGUGUAAUCCCACAAAAUAACUCUUCUUACUAUGAAGUAAUGACAAAACGCACUCUUUAAAAUGUAACACACCCUUCAAGAGGCAUCCAGCCUCAGUCAAAGCACUAGUUAGCACUUGAUUCACCCUAAAAGGCAAGAAAGAAGAGAACCAACUGUCCAGCCAAUCUUUAUAUUCCCAUCACUGCAAAGAUACACCUACAAUCAAACCUCCUAGGUGCUCAAUUCCCUCGACCCUCCUGGGUUUUGAUUAUUUAAGGUUCUGACGUCAGGACGCUAUGACAUCACGGAGCUUCCUAAAUGGAAAUGCCUGGAACGGCUUUGGCAGGUGGAACAGGUCUAACUGCUCUUAACAUUUGCUCUCCGAUGUGACUGAUAAGCUGAGGAAGGGGAGAUUCUAACCCGUCUUUUAAUCUAAGCACCAUCCAAAGGAGCCAACGGCGACUUGAUGCCAGUUUUCUGAGCCUCGUACAGGGACGAGCUGCCCUCGAGGGCUUGAGGGGGAAACGGACGCAGCAAGCAUGUCCCUUCUCACCUUUGUCCAACUGAUUAAUUCUGAACCUGCACCAGCUAGGUUGGAGGGAGGGUAUAGAAGUACAGGUUCUCUAAAUGUCCAUGGACAGAUGAAUGGAUAAAGAAGAUGUGGUAUAUAUACAAUGGAAUAUUACUCAGCCAUAAAAAAGAAUGAAACAAUGCCAUUUGCGGCAACAUGGAUGGACCUAGAGAUGAUCAUACUGAGUGAAGUAAGACAGAGGAAGACAAAUACCAUAUGAUGUCACUUACAUGUGAAAUCUAAAAAGUGAACUUAUUUACAAAACAGAAAUAGACUCACAGGCAUAGAAAACAACCUUAUGGUCCCCAAAGGGGAAAGCAGAGGGGAGGGAUAAAUGAGGAGUUUGGGUUUAACAUAUAUGCACUACUAUAUAUAAAACAGAUAACCAACAAGGGUCUACUGUAUAGCACAGGGAACUCUACUCAAUAUCUUGUAAUAACCUAUAAUGGAAAAGAAUCCGAAAAAGGAUGGAUUUAUUAUAUAUAUGUAUAACUGAAUCACUUUGCUAUAUACCUGAAACUAACA